rnacentral:rRNA from 1 species
UGGGUAAUCUGCCCUCGGCACCGGGAUAGCCCGGGGAAACCCGGAUUAAUACCGGAUGGCCUCUAGAGCUUUCGGGCUCUUGAGAAAAGGUAGCUUCGGCCUCCGGCCGAGGAGGAGCCCGCGGCGGAUUAGCUUGUUGGUGAGGUAAGAGCUCACCAAGGCGACGAUCCGUAGCUGGUGUGAGAGCAUGACCAGCCACACUGGGACUGAGGCACGGCCCAGACUCCCACGGGAGGCAG